CAUUUAUGUCUGAGAAAAGAACCUGCAAAGGAGGCAGGGACAGUUGACCCAUGUAAAUGACUGAGAUUUAUAAGGUUAAAUGUCGAGUGUAGAAAUAUAAGAUCCCAGAGAACAAAAAAUCGGUAGCACUAUUUAAACCAUUACAAAUUUAGAACAACAAGAUGAUUCAAAUCUUUUUACAAAAUUUAGGAAUGAUUACUAACCUUCUUUCCAGCUUCCACUUCCCCAACCUCGUUACCAACAUAUAGUACCUCUCCCA
rnacentral:misc_RNA from 1 species